rnacentral:lncRNA from 1 species
AAAUUUUGAAUUUUAAAUAUUAAUCUUUUAAUGUCUAUAUUCAGUAUUUUAGAUAAUAUUAAGUCAGAUCUCGAUCCCUUUCAGAGUUCGAGUUACAUUCAUCAUAUAUCUAUUAUGUACGUGAGUGAGAUAUUCUAAGGCUGCGUUUGGUUCGGGUAUAAGUAAGAACUGCUAGUUCUAGGGAUAGGUACAAGUUCAGGUAUAAGUAUGAACUAGACCAAUUUUGCGUUUGGAUGAAAAUUGGGUUGUUCCUAGGAAUAAGAUAAAUAGUGUUUGGAUGAUUAGAUUGGAACAAGAGGAAUAAACGUUAUAAUUUGAAAUUAAAAUUAUAUUAUGUAAUUAAUUAACAUAAAAAUAUUACUUAAAAAUAAAUAAAAAAAUUAAUUAUUAAUAAUUAAUUAUAAAUAAUAAUUAUUAAUAGUAAUUAAUUAUAAAUAAUAAAU